AUAUAGCAUUUAUAUUUAUCAUAGAACAUUUAAAAUACAUUCCUGGUGGCCCUUGCUGAAUUGUGACUCUAUAGUAAUGUCGUAAAAUAUAUAUAUGAUGAAGUCACUGAUUCUUUUGAUGAAUUUGCGGGGUGUUAUUUUAAAAUCGGUUCUGUUUGUUAUGCAAUAUUAUUUUUGGGCUGUGAAAGAAGUCGACUGUCGUAAUGGGGCGUUAUACGAUGUACAUGAUAUAUUUCAUUAAUAAAUUUACUUAUCUAAAAUAA